GCUCUUGUGGUUGAAUAACAACGGUGGUUUUUCAAGCCAUUGGUCCUGGUUAAACCCCUGGCGGGAGCC
rnacentral:tRNA from 2 species